GCUCCCAGUGCCUUCCCAGGAGCUCUCGUGGACCUCCUGGUGCCACCUCGAGGUUCUCAGACACUUCCCCAUCCUCCUUGAAGCCAUACCAGUAUGUCCCAGUAUGACCCAGUGUGUCCCAGUAUGUCCCUCUGGUCUAUUGGUGGUGCCCCAGUGCCUCCCAGUAGCUCCCAGUGCCUUCCCAGGAGCUCUCGUGGACCUCCUGGUGCCACCUCGAGGUUCUCAGACACUUCCCCAUCUUCCUUGAAGCCAUACCAGUAUGACCCAGUAUGUCCCAGUAUGUCCCUCUGGACUAUUGGCGGUGCCCCAGUGCCUCCCAGUAUCUCCCAGUACCACCCCAGAAGCUCUCAAAGCCCCACUGGUGCCACCUCGAGGUGCUCAGCUGUUUCCCCAUCCUCCCUGCUGCCAUCCCAGUUCCUCCCAGUAGCUCCCAGUGCACUCCUGGUGCCGCUCCAGCAUCUCCCAGUAAGGUCCAGUGCCCUCCCAGUGCCCCUCCGUAUCUCCCAGUGGCCCCUCGGCCCCUCCCAGUUCCUCCCAGUCCCGUCAGAGCUGACUCACUCCCCAGUACUUCCUCAAUACUGGGCAGGGCGGCACCUCCCAGUUGUUUCCUGUCUGUCCCAGUUGCUUCCAGUCUGCCCCAGUUGCCUCCCAGUCUGCCCCAGUUGCCUCCCAAUGGCCCUCAACCCCACCCCAGCAGCUCCCAGUGCCCUCCCAGUGCCCCUCAACCCCCUCCCAGUGCCCACCAGUCCCUCCCAGCCCCAAACCAGUCCCUCCCAGCCCCCUCCCAGCCCCCCCCAGUCCCCUCCCAGUUCAUCCCAGUGCCCACCAGUGGACUCAUCGGCAGCUAGGAUGCCCUUGCCGGGGGCCACGAUGCGCCGGGCGAUGUCGGCGAGCUCCUGCUUCUGCUCGGGGGUGAGCGCCGGGUACUGGUGCGGCAUGGUGGUGGCACUGGGGACAAGAUGGGGACAGCGUCAGGGGGACACCGGGGAACCCGGGGAGAACGUCGGGGACCCCGAGAACGUUGGGGACCCCAUGAGGAGCCCAUGGGGACAUCAGGAACCCCAAGAGGAACAUCAGGAACCCUACAGAGAACGUUGGGGACCCCAUGGAGAACCUCAAGAACCUCAUGGAGAACAUUGGGGUCUCCUUGGAGAACCCAUGGGGACAUCGGGGACCCCAUGGAGAACCCAUAGGGGACAUUGGGGACCCCAUGGGGGACAUUGGGGACCCUACAGAGAACCCUUGGAGAACGUUGGGGACCCCAAAAAGAACCCCAUGGGGACCCCAGGGACAGGGGAGGGUGGGAGGGGGCACCCAUGGGUGCUGAGGGGACACCGAGGGGACCUGGGGACACCCAAGGGACAGCGAGGAGGGACACAAGGGUGCCUGGGGACACCCAAGGGGACACCAAGGAGGG
rnacentral:lncRNA from 1 species